GACGAACGCUGGCGGCGUGCCUAAUACAUGCAAGUCGAGCGAGAAGCUUGGAAAUGACGCUUCGGUUGAUUUUCCAAGCGGACAGCGGCGGACGGGUGAGUAACGCGUAGGCAACCUGCCCCUGACAGAGGGAUAGCCAUUGGAAACGAUGAUUAAAACCUCAUGACACCGUAGUAGCACAUGCUACAUCGGUCAAAGAUUUAUCGGUCAGGGAUGGGCCUGCGUCUGAUUAACUGGUUGGUGAGGUAACGGCUCACCAAGGUGACGAUCAGUAGCCGACCUGAGAGGGUGAUCGGCCACAUUGGAACUGAGACACGGUCCAAACUUCUACGGAAGGCAGCAGUAGAGAAUCUUGCACAAUGGGCGAAAGCCUGAUGCAGCAACGCCGCGUGAAGGAUGAAGGCCUUCGGGUUGUAAACUUCUGUUCUAAGGGAAGAGAGAAAUGACGGUACCUUAGGAGCAAGCCCCGGCUAACUACGUGCCAGCAGCCGCGGUAAUACGUAGGGGGCAAGCGUUAUCCGGAAUUAUUGGGCGUAAAGAGUGCGUAGGUGGUUACCUAAGCGCAAGGUUUAAAUUAGAGGCUCAACCUCUACAUGCCUUGCGAACUGGGCUACUUGAGUGCAGGAGGGGAAAGCGGAAUUCCUAGUGUAGCGGUGAAAUGCGUAGAUAUUAGGAGGAACACCGGCGGCGAAGGCGGCUUUCUGGACUGUAACUGACACUGAGGCACGAAAGCGUGGGUAGCAAACAGG
rnacentral:rRNA from 1 species